AGAGUUUGAUCCUGGCUCAGAACGUACGCUGGCGGCACGCCUAACACAUGCAAGUCGAACGAAGUAGCAAUACUUAGUGGCAAACGGGUGAGAAUAAUGUGGGUAUCUGCCCUAUGGUUUGGAAUAACACGAGGAAACUUGUGCUAAUACCGGAUAAGCCCUUACGGGGAAAGUUUUAACGCCGAAAGAUGAGCCCGCACUUGAUUAGCUAGUUGGUAAGGUAAUGGCUUACCAAGGCUACGAUCAAUAGCUGAUCUGAGAGGAUGAUCAGCCACAUUGGGACUGAGACACGGCCCAAACUCCUACGGGAGGCAGCAGUGGGGAAUCUUGCACAAUGGGGGAAACCCUGAUGCAGCGAUGCCGCGUGAGUGAAGAAGGCCUUUGGGUUGUAAAGCUCUUUCGUCGGGGAAGAAAAUGACUGUACCCGAAUAAGAAGGUCCGGCUAACUUCGUGCCAGCAGCCGCGGUAAUACGAAGGGACCUAGCGUAGUUCGGAAUUACUGGGCUUAAAGAGCACGUAGGUGGUUAGAAAAGUUGGUGGUGAAAUCCCAGAGCUUAACUCUGGAACUGCCAUCAAAACUUUUUGACUAGAGUAUGAUAGAGGUAAGCGGAAUUUCUAGUGUAGAGGUGAAAUUCGUAGAUAUUAGAAAGAACACCAAUUGCGAAGGCAGCUUUCUGGAUCAUUACUGACACUGAGGUGCGAAAGCAUGGGUAGCGAAGAGGAUUAGAUACCCUCGUAGUCCAUGCCGUAAACGAUGUGUGCUAGAUGUUGGAAAUUUAUUUUCAGUGUCGCAGCAAAAGCGUUAAGCACACCGCCUGGGGAGUACGACCGCAAGGUUAAAACUCAAAUGAAUUGACGGGGACCCGCACAAGCAGUGGAGCAUGUGGUUUAAUUCGAAGAUACGCGCAGAACCUUACCAACACUUGACAUGUUCGUCGCGAACCUAAGAAAUUAGGUUCUUCAUUUAGUUGGACGAAACACAGGUGCUGCAUGGCUGUCGUCAGCUCGUGUCGUGAGAUGUUGGGUUAAGUCCCGCAACGAGCGCAACCCUUACUUUUAGUUGCUACCAUUAAGUUGGGCACUCUAAAAGAACUGCCAGUGAUAAGCUGGAGGAAGGUGGGGAUGACGUCAAGUCCUCAUGGCCCUUAUGUGUUGGGCUACACACGUGCUACAAUGGUACUUACAAUGAGAUGCGAAGAGGCGACUCUAAGCCAAUCCCAAAAAGGUACCUCAGUUCGGAUUGCACUCUGCAACUCGAGUGCAUGAAGCUGGAAUUGCUAGUAAUCGCGGAUCAGCGCGCCGCGGUGAAUACGUUCCCGGGUCUUGUACACACCGCCCGUCACACCAUGGAAGUUGGUUACACCUUAAGGCAAAGCGUAAAACCUUUGACUACGGUACGAUCAGCGACUGGGGUGAAGUCGUAACAAGGUAACC
rnacentral:rRNA from 1 species